rnacentral:rRNA from 1 species
UACGGGGGGGGCAAGCGUUGUUCGGAAUUACUGGGCGUAAAGGGCUCGUAGGUGGCCAACUAAGUCAGACGUGAAAUCCCUCGGCUUAACCGGGGAACUGCGUCUGAUACUGGAUGGCUUGAGUUUGGGAGAGGGAUGCGGAAUUCCAGGUGUAGCGGUGAAAUGCGUAGAUAUCGUGAGGAACACCAGAGGCGAAGGCGGUUACCUGGACAGUUACUGACGCUCAGGCACGAAAGCGUGGGGAGCAAAAGGG